CCUACGGGAGGCUGCAGUGGGGAAUAUUGCACAAUGGGGGGAACCCUGAUGCAGCCAUGCCGCGUGUGUGAAGAAGGCCCUCGGGUUGUAAAGCACUUUCAGCGAGGAAGAACGCCUGGUGGUUAAUACCCAUCAGGAAAGACAUCACUCACAGAAGAAGCACCGGCUAACUCCGUGCCAGCAGCCGCGGUAAUACGGAGGGUGCGAGCGUUAAUCGGAAUUACUGGGCGUAAAGCGCGCGUAGGCGGCUUGAUAAGCCGGAUGUGAAAGCCCCGGGCUCAACCUGGGAACUGCAUCCGGAACUGUCAAGCUAGAGUGCAGGAGAGGAAGGUAGAAUUCCCGGUGUAGCGGUGAAAUGCGUAGAGAUCAGGAGGAAUACCAGUGGCGAAGGCGGCCUUCUGGACGGACACUGACGCUGAGGUGCGAAAGCGUGGGGAGCAAACAGGAUUAGAUACCCGAGUAGUC
rnacentral:rRNA from 1 species